CCCCCACCCCUGCCCCACCUCUUUUCUAAAUGAAACCCGUUAGUUCUCCUAUGGUACCUGGUAGAAUCUUCUCCCCAGUGUUCUAAAAUUCUGCCCUGGUUCUAUUCUUAAACUGUGUUGACUAUUUAGUGGACAUUUUAAAUUUACUUUUAAGGAGACUACAUAGUCUUCUUGUUAAGUCUAUAUUAGAAAAAAUAUUUCCAGUUUCAUUGUAUUAACAAAGCUUUGUUAAUUGUUUACUUCUAAAUUCUGUAGCUUUCAAAGGUCAAUUCAAGUGUCAUUUACCUACUUAUGAGGCCUUUUCUGACUCCGCUAAGUAGAAGCCCACAGUUCUGUGUCUGCUUGUUGACCUUCUCAAAUUUGAAACUCACUGAGAUAGGGGCUGGUCAGUCGGUCUUGUGAGUCUGGGCACUCAUGACCUAAUUUCAAUCUCUCGAAUCCAAAUGACAGAAGGAGAGAACCAACUCUAGCAAUUCAACCUCUGACUUCCCCACAUACCCCAAACUAUUCAUGUAUGUGUGCAUACACAGAGACAUACCUUCAAAAUAAAUAAAUAAAAAGUAAAAAAAUUGAAGUUCAUCAAAAUAUAUUGUAUUAUAAUUGUGUGUAAAUCCCUCAGACCAUAAGAGUCUUAUAGUUUUGUUUGUGUAUUAUACAUAACUGCUUAGCAUAUAGAGAAUACUCAAUAAGUAUUGUGGGUUAUUGAAAUUAAUAUCCAAAAAAGGAAACCAUAUUUAAACAAUUAAUUUAUAUGGUUUCUUACUCAAUAUUUGCUAACGGCCAGGAAGUGAUAGGCCAUGGUUCUCUAACACAUCGCUAACGUGUUCAUAUACGAUAGUUUACUUUGUAAUUCCUUUAACUAUCCGUUGUCGCUAGUGAACUUGACGUUUCACUCCAUGGUGGUCCUUUUCUAGGAACAAGUACACGGUCGUAUCAUUUCUCACGUAUGUGUACAGUACACACAGUCUAUAUUCUUCAAGUGGCAGUUGUAUCAUUUCUCAUGUAUGUGUACAGUACACACAGUCUAUAUUCUUCAAGUGGCAGCUUACUCAUAUUUAAAAAGAAAUAAUUUUCAUUUUUCUUAAAUCUUAGUGAUAUUUUCCCUCCAAGUAUCUUUUGCUGGCAGAGCACUAAGUGGCCAUUCAUCUAGGUCUUGAUCAGUGCAAUGUAUUUUAAGCCACUGGCUCUAAAACACAUUCAAAUGGCGUGCCCUAUUCCUCACGAAUUGCUUUCUUUGCUUAAAUUUCCCACUCAGACCACCAGCAAUCCCUUAAGUACUUCUCCUACCUGCUAAUGCUAGCUUUUAAAAUCUACUUAAUGUUCCUGCUUUCUUCCCUUUGUGCCUCUGUCACUUAAUACACCUCCGUGCUCGCCCGCCCGCCCGCCCGACGUUGUUCCUUCUCAAGGUCGUUAUGCUUUUAGGAGGAUUUUUUUCUUGUCUUUUUUCUACUGUCUUGGAUGCGUUGAUUCUGUUUCUCCACUGCAAAGAGCUUAGUGGAGGCUGGAAGUGAGUGCUAUGGGCGACUUUAAAAAGAUUUUCUGUAAAAUAUUAAGAGCACAAAAAUGAAGUUACUAUAUAACUCAUGUUCCAAAAGGCCUUUGAUAAAAAUUUGAAGGCAUUAAUAAAGAGAACUAAAAUGAAAUUUGUUUAAAUUUCCUAAAUAGGAGGAAAAGGGGAGUCUUGAAGAUUGGCAGCUGUUAGAUUGAGUGAUAAGUAAAUUAGGGUUCAUACUUUCCUAUCCUGGUUAUUUUUGUAUAUCCUAAAAUAUUUUUCCAAAUACAAGGUUUAGAAGAUCUCUCUAUCAUUUUCAUCCCUGUUGACCUGGCAGGCGCAGGCCAGGCGCCCUCUCUGGUGUGUGUCCUCCAGUGUGUAACACCCUCCGAUGGUGACUGUGGGAUUCCUUGGAUUAGCAAGGAGAAUAACUGGAAACAUUCUCACUGCUUCACUUCUGUCACAAAUGGUAAUAAACUGUGGUAUAUCUAUAUCAAUGCAUUAUAAAGUAGCCAUUAAAAGCAUGAACCGAGUUUAUGUUGUAUUCUGGAAAGACACAUAUGAUAUUAUUGUUAGAUGAGUUGAAUACUGUGGUAAUGUAAUUUUAUUUUUAUAAAAAGGAACUGUAAAUAUGGAAAGAUCUGUGAAGAUCAAAUUAUAAGUCUGAGUAAUUUAUAAAAAGUGGCUCCUGAAAAGAUGGGGUAGAAGAAAAAUUACCUUCUCAUUUAUUACUUUUUGUAUUGUCUGAUCUUUCAAAUAUGCGUUGCUUUGGGGAAAUGUAAUAAAAAUCUUUUAAAUGUACAAAUAAAGUAUUUACAAAGC
rnacentral:lncRNA from 1 species